rnacentral:lncRNA from 1 species
UAGAGAACUCUAGACACUGGACCUAAAUACCUUGUUAUAUAUUAACCCUAAGCUUCACUACCUAGUACUAAUAAAUUAAGCACACAUACAUUAGAAGCUAGCAUACAUGAUUAGGAUUAUAAUAAGAUGAUGAUACUACUUGUUUUGGUUCUUGGUGGUAAACUUGGACUCGUCAAUCUCAACGCCUUCCUCUUCAGCACGCUCUCCUCCAGAUUUCUCCAUGGUGCUGAAUCCACCCUUACGACCCAUCUCUUGGUACCCUUCUGUUCCCAACUGCUCCCUCCUUGUUUGCCCUCCCUUGCUCCUUCCUGAUAAUCAAACAACAUUUUUAUAUCAUAUAGCUGCAUAUUCAUUUAUAUACAUACGUAACAUUAUUACUGAGAUAAUAAUAAUAAUAAUAAUAAUAAUAAUUAAUAACCUUCAGCAAGAUGCUCCUGAGCCUCAAGGGACUUGCCACCAGUUCCACCAGGGACCACAGUCUCUCCCUGUUUUGCCCUUUCAUCAAGCUCUUGUCGGUUUUGUUGUUUAGAUGCCAUGCUUAUAACUUGUAUCUAUGCAAUAAUUUAGUUGACUAUACUUGACUCUUAGCUCAAUAUGCUAACAUAGUCCUUGAUGAGGCUUUAUAUAGGCAACAAAUUUGUGUUGCAUAAUUAAUGCUAAAAUUAUUCGAUAGUAAGGAAGAAAAAUCAAGAACGUGACAACUACUUAGAAAGGAACAGUGAGCGUGUCCAUGCAUGGACACGUGGUGCAUGCCUGGCAAAACAUGAGUAAGACACGCAACGCAACUCCCAAAAUGACACGACGUCCAGUUAUUUAUUUGGGAAUAGGGCAGCAAACUUUUAAUAUGAGCAUGUACUCUUUGUUCGGUUGGCAAAUUUGUAUUCUACAGUGUUUCUGAUAAGUUUCUUUAGUUUUUAUUAGCUUUUAACUAAUUUCUUUUUAGCAUUGUAUUGUUUAUUCAUUCAAGUAGGAUUGUCAUGUGCUACAAUUAAGCUGUGUGAUAAAAGUGCCUUCAACCUUGGUCUUCAUAACACUUGCAAAUUCGCUUCCUUAACAUAUGAACUAUAUGUAUUCAAUCCGUACUCUAAAUUUUUCAAUUCCAAUAUUUAUCAGUAAAAUGAUAAACAAAUUUCAUCCAAUAUUUAUCUUUCGAAUAAAUUAAUUUUUAAACAAAAUAAUUAACCUAUUAAUUUUCAGUUUUCUUUCCCACCCAAACUGAUUGUAAUAGGACGUCUGAAUUAAACGGAAUCAAAAUGAAGGUAUAUAGUAGUGUAUACUCCACAGCCUUGUUUUAUAAAAAUUUUAUGGUAAAUUUUACUAUAUUUUUUUUAAAACAAUAUAUAAUUUAUUUUGUAUGAUGUGUCACUUUUUAAUUGGUUAUUAGGUUAAUCUUGAUUAGACUAUUUUAUAAUUAAAUUAGUUUUUAAAAUGGAUAAUUAUUCAAUUUUUUCAAAAAUCUUAAAUUUAUAAAAAUCUAAUCUAAAAUUAGUGUCUCUCUGCAUGGCCAAUAUCCAUAAAUGGCUUUAGAUUAAAAACUGAAGUAAACCAAAUACAAAUAGGCACCAUUUUGACACUUUCGCAAUUCGUCGGUUCUUAAAAAAAUUUUCCCCGCUGAAUUCCUCUCAAAUUUCUUUGUAUUGAUUAUGAAACAUCAUAACUGUUGUAGAAGAUGAUACUUGCAAAUUUUGUCCAAAAUUAAGCCCAAACAUUCUUUCCAAAAAUUUAGUUCUAGAAGAAGUUUGUUAAUUUGAUUUUAAUUUAAAAAUUAGAACUAAAAUCGUAUCUAAAAGUAUCCGAAGAGUACUCAAAGUAACUAGUUAGAUUGAGUUCACACUGUUUGAACUAAGAAGGGACAACAUGUUGUACUUUGAUUCGAUAUGCUGAUAUUCAGGACUUGAAAAUAUGAAAUGAGAAAUGCAAGCAGCACAGUUUAUAUAACGCAAAGUGUGCCAAUGACAGACUCUUUUGUCUCGUCACUUUUCAGUCAACUAAAGUUAAAUUCUUCUUACCACCUCUCUGUUCUCGUCAAUUUUCAACGCACAACUGGGCAAAUCUACUAGGAAUUAGAAAUAUUACGGCAAAGAUUAAUAAUUUUAUUUUGGCAAAUACAUGACUAAACAUUACAAAAUUAAUGUUUAGGUUGCAAUACUUUGUUACUUUAGCAAAGAUGAAAUGAUAUUUGCACCCAUCAUAAGUAAUGGCAUUAUUAUGCUACAACAUAAACCACUGUUCAACUCUCCAAAGGAAAAUAUUAGAUUUCUCAUUACAUCAUUAAACACAUCAUGCAGACAAACCGUACAUAUUAACAACUGAAGCAUAAAACAACUGAAGCACUAGUAAUAAUGAGCAUAACCUCUCAAUAUAUGCUAGCUAGUUAUUAUUAGAGAACUCUAGACACUGGACCUAAAUACUUUGUUAUAUAUUAACCCUAAACAUCACUACCUAGUACUAAUAAACUAAGCACACAUACAUUAGAAGCUAGCAUACAUGAUUAGGAUUAUAAUAAGAUUAUGGUACUACUUGUUUAGGUUCUUGGUGACAAACUUGGACUCAUCAAUCUCAACGCCUUCCUCUUCAGCACGCUCUCCUCCAGAUUUUUCCAUGGUGCUAAAUCCACCCUUGCGACCCAUCUCUUGGUAUCCUUCUGUUCCUAACUGCUCCCUCCUUGUUUGCCCUCCCUUGCUCCUUCCUGAUAGUGAAACAACAUUUUUAUGCCAUAUAGUUGCA